ACAAUGAAUCUUUAGAUUUGGUUCCAUUUGUCUACUUAUGAGUUCUAUAUGAAUUGACAAAAGUCUAGAGAUUCCUUUCUUGAAGAAAAGGAAGAUCACAUUAUAAUGAUAUAAAUAAUAAGAAAAUUGUUUCUUAUAUAGUUAUCACAUGAAACACAAUGAUCAAGAUCACUUUUGAUUCAAUUAGUAGUUUUGAACAAUUAAUUGGGCAUUCUUAAAAUUGUUUUAAAAUGUCAAUUGUGUUAGUGACUAAACCAAGAAAGAAGUGUCUAAAUCUAUAAAAGGUUUAAAGACUUUAGUCACUUAAAUAACAAGACAUUAAACUUAGUGAAGAUUGAAACAAAUAAGCUUGAAAUGUUUCAAAGCUACUACACAAUGUCUUCUACCAAUAUAAUCCACUUUUAUACAUUUUGAAUGUAUGAAAUAAUUUCUCAUUAAAGUCAUGAGAAAUAGUGGGAGGUAUGAAAAUGGAUAUAAACUUGAAUGUGAUUGGUUUAUAGUUGUCUAAAGAAUAAUAGUACUUGACUAUUAUUAAGAGUUUGUAAUUUUAAGUGUUAAAAGGACUCAAGCUCUUUAAAAUGUUAAAAUUCUAUGUUGUGUAACAUUUAAAGAAUAGUCUUUGAAUGUUGGUUUCGUCAACCUAGCAUAAAAUGGUUAUAUGUUGGGAGUUGUCCAUCAUUCUCUUUUAUGAGAACAUGCUAAUAACAAAGCUUAUGGACAAGUUGAUGAAACAAAAGGGAAUAAGUUUCAAAAAUGAGUCACAACAUAUGGUUUAACAACAAGACAAUCCAAAUUCAACAUUUCUUGUAACGAUAUUGCUCUAUGUAGUUUUGAUAGAGAAUUAUAUCAACCACCUAGAAGGAAUGGUUGAGAAUCUAUAUCCUUAGUAGGAGCCAAGCUUCCACUAAAGACUUAGAUAAUUCUUAUAUGACUACAUUAAAGGUCUUAGUAUGACUAAACUUGUAGUAUGGUGUAUGACAUCGUAUAAUUAAAUGAAUAGACUUGAUAAAACAAGUCACAUAUUCAAAAGGAAUUACUUUAGAAGGAAUUCUUUUGUAUGUGAUUCGUUUAAAUAACUUGUGUUAGCUAGGGUUGUUGAUGGUCUCAAAAUUGUUGAGAACAUCAUCAAUAAGCUAAUGGAUCUCAAUGGAUCCAAGACAAGUUAGUGGGAGCAACACGCAUUCAAAUCAAGAAAAUAUAAGUGUUAUUUUUGAAUGAAUGCUAAGUUACAACAAGGCCAGUGGGAUUGAUGUCAUAAUUUGAGCAACAAGAUGUGAAUAAAGUCUAUUUGAUAGACUUGAUGAAACAUAGAUGUUACUCGAAAAAUGACAAAACAUGACACGGUCAAUUUUGAAGUAAAAACUUGAAAUUAGACUUACUGAUAUAGCAAGGCUAUCUCAAUAAUGUUAUAUGGGAAUUAAAUCUCAAAUGUUGAAGAUUUAAGAAAGCAUUUUCCUAUGUGAUAAGAAAUCACUUUCAUAACCCUUAUAAUGAAUGUGUCAUAAAAUCACAAAAGGGACACAUGUGUUGACUUGUGAAGUAGAUAUCCAAAGGUGAAGGAACCACUGAGUUUAUCACUUUAAGAUAUUACUAUAUCCCAGGAUCAGAACCGAAGCAACUGAUAGAGUAUUAUUGCCUUUUAAGAAAGAAACAUCAGAGUGGGACUAUGGAAGCGUGCAUUCACUUAGGUUGUUAACCAAAGUGAAAAAUAAGCCAUUUUAACAAAUGGAACUUCAUAUUGGAUGAAGUACUAAUCAUAUGAAUGAAUUGUUAGUAUUGUACUACAAUGGUCUCAAGCUUGGAGCAAAGUUUGUAUAAAGUAUACAAACGAAAUAUAUGUAGAUAUAUAGUUUUAGAAACUGCUUCAAAAGGUGUUUUGAAUGAAAGGGGUUCUUUUAGAACCCAUGAUUGCAUCCAAACCAUAAGGUCGUUAGUAGAGUACUACGACGUAAUGGGGAGAUAGCUCAAGCCAUGGAAUCAAGGUCUCAUCAAAGUAUUCGAACACAUUAAAGAGACAUAAUCAAAUGUUUUGGAAACAUUAGAUAAGUAAAUCCCUUUUGAAUAAUAAAAGGGAUUAAUACAUAACCAAGUUAACCUACGAGCAUAAACUCUCUCAACAAGAUGUAUAAGAUACACUAGUGAUUGACUUUAGUGCAAGUGGGAGAUUGUUGGAAAUAUGCCCUGAAAGUCAAUCUUUGGAAGAAAUCUUUCAGGACAAAUGAAUUGAUGUAUGGAUGAA
rnacentral:lncRNA from 1 species